GUUAUUACUAGGUGCAUGCGAGCUGCUUAUACAAACAAACUCUUCAGCUUUUUAAUAUUAGGUAGUUCACAUAGAUUUCCUACAUUGUGAAUCUAUUUCCAAUAAUAGUCCAGUCGUAGAGCAAUAAAGUGAAAAUAACUUUUCGAUUUGAAAUAUUUUAAACCCGAUAGAAAAAUAUUAUUCUGGGAAUUUGUGCAAGGCUUUGAAUAUGAAGAAAGAAAACUUAUUUAUUGACACAAACCAUACAUACACAUAGAAACAACAAAAAAAAACAAAAUAAAAGAACAAAAGGUUGCGUCAAAUAGGUCUAGUUCAGCAUUAUGCCAGACAGCUAGUGUCUGACGCUGGUUUUCAACUGGACCUAUGCGGAGUUACGGAUGUCCAUCGGUAUGAACUGAUUUAUGCUCUAUAGAAAAAAAUAAUAAAACUACUAAACUAUGUACUAUUUAAAAAAGAAAAAAAAAGAAACGUAAAUCAUAAUCAGAAGGAUUAGUCACAAAAAAUAAAUAAAAAUAAAAAGUGGAGGUAAACGUAAAUAAAUUCAUACCGUGACUAAUCGCAAUCCUGAGGAAGCAUCGCUCAGUGACGAUUUUAUUUCACACAGAUGAAAUGUUACAGUGUGCACACAUUCAAAGAGCCGUAACUGGUUGCGACCUCUGUUAUUAUUGCUCAGCGUGCCACCGAUCAUUGCCGACAUAUAUUAAUGAAGAACACAGACAAGCAAUUAUAAAUUGUGAAAUUGUGCAAAAUCAUAAAACAGUUUUUUUUUGUUAGUUGCCAGCAGUCCACAUUGGGUACCUACCCUACGUUCUUGAGAGAAAAAAAAAGUAUAUUUGGUAAUAAUAGCAUUCAGGCGAAGGUACAUAAGAUGUUUGCAAGUGCAAAGUCUACUUCCCUGUACAGAAAUGAUCACCGUGCACCACGUACACGCCGUAGGGUGCACCUAUUUCCAGAAGGCCAUACCCACAAGGCCUCCAGACAUGGCGCACCCAUAACGCAUCAUGGCCGGUGACCCGAGAGAGACCAGGAGUACUCAAUUUAAGCUGUGAGAAUACACUACCCACAUUACAUACACAUUAGCCUCACGCAUUGUCAUAAAACUACAAUAGUAAUAUGUUUUACCAGUUAUAACAAAUACGCAGUAUUUUAGGAGUUUGAAAUAAAAUGUAUUUUUAUAGGUACAGCUAGAAUUUCCUAAGUAGAGAAUAUCCAUUGAAAAAAAUGAAAAUGAUUGUAUUGAAAAUUGUUUGUUAUUUUUAGAAUUCAUUGGAAUGUGUCUCA